GUUAUUGAAGGGAAAUAUUUGCUUAAACUAAUCACAUUAACCAUUUUUAAUGGAACACAUGUCAUAACACCCUUUUGCAAAAGGCUUACGUUUUCUACAAUUACAUCCAGGGGGUGGCUGGCAGAGGCUGCCCAAGUGACCUUCAAAAAUACCUGAAGCAAAGCAUAAGCCCCUGUCUACAAUCUCAAGUUUUAUCUCAUUCCAAAUUAACUCUAAAAAUCUGUUUGUUUGAAGUCAGACUUUUCCAGCAGUGAGAGGCUUUUGAUAUACAAAAACAUAUUAAGUUUGUUGUGGCUAGCCUCAUGACUAAAAUUUGAAGUCACAGUUCAAUUUAUCAAGAAAUUCAUUUUAAGCAUUAUUGGACAAUGGUUUCAAAAUGCAUCAUCUGUUCUGAAGUUUAUACUGUAUUAUUUUUAUCAUUAUGGUAUUAUAAGCCAUGGCCUAUAAUUUUUGUUUGUCACUUUUUGCUGUGGCUUCUAAUCAAAAGUAGCUUAGAAAGAAGGGCAGGUUACAUUAUUUUAUCCAGAUCUUGCCAAGCUCCUGCUAUCUUAUUGGAUCAUCAAUAGUGUCUAAAAGUAUUUCUCCCAUCUUCUACAUUAAAUAAACAAUCCAAUACUGAACAACAUUGUUGACGGUUGAACAAUGUAAUGUCUAUUUUAUGGUUAAGUACGCAAUCAGGGUUUAUAUCGUUAUUUCAAACCAAUUAUUUCUGCAUGGUUUUGUGGGUGCAGCUCAGAAUCAAGGGGGGAUACAUUUUUUAAGAACCCAUCUUGCUGCCGUCUGUAAUCUUGGCAGCUUAUAAUAAAUCAAUUACAGUACUUUCUUGUAAUUCUGUUUUACCACAUAAUUAUUCAAAUAGUGUGAAAAUGCAAAUAUUUGAAAAGAAAUGUAUUUUUAUAAAAUUUUAGCUAUCUUAUCACCAUUGCUUUCCUUUCUCAGUUUUAAAAAAGCCAAUACUGCAAGUCAAUGGUAAUAACAGUUUUCAACAGUCAUAUGGAAUGCCAGCCUUUUGUAAUGACCCAGUCAGCUAUUCUACUGGCAACAUUGUUGCUUUUUGUAUCACUGGGUUCAUUGGCCUGUUGGUUCUAAUUGGUACAUUUCUUGACUAUGCACAAAACUGGUUCAAACCGACAACAGUAGUUUUAUCCAAGUCAAGUGGCUUCAUGCCUGUAAUGGGAGCUAGUGAUGAUGAUAUUCUGUCACAUAAUGUUGUUAAUGAAAGCCAGCCUUUUCUUGCUCAAAAUGAUGUGAAAAAGUCUCAGAAAAGCUUGUUUGCAGAAAUCCUCUUGUGUUUUUCAUUCCGGAAAAACUUUAAACAGAUAUUCAACACUGAUGUCGCUUCAUCUGCCAUCACAUGUAUCAAUGGCAUUCGCACCAUCAGCAUGACAU